GGGUACAUAGCGCAGUGGUAGCGCGCAUGCUUUGCACUGACUUACUAUUAGGUAAUCGUUUCUGUAUGAGGUCCAGGGUUCAAUCCCCUGUGUAUCCA